rnacentral:misc_RNA from 1 species
GAUGAAGAACGUAGCGAAAUGCGAUAAGUAAUGUGAAUUGCAGAAUCCAGUGAAUCAUCGAAUCUUUGAACGCACAUUGCGCCCGCCAUCAUUCUGGCGGGCAUGCCUGUUCGAGCGUCAUUUCAACCCUCGACCUCCCUUUGGGGAAGUCGGCGUUGGGGACCGGCAGCACACCGCCGGCCCUGAAAUGGAGUGGCGGCCCGUCCGCGGCGACCUCUGCGUAGUAAACCAACUCGCACCGGAACCCCGACGUGGCCACGCCGUAAAACACCCAACUUCUGAACGUUGACCUCGAAUCAGGUAGGACUACCCGCUGAACUUAAGCAUAUCAAUAAGCGGAGGA